GCCUGGCUGGCUCAGUCGGUGGAGCAUGUGACUCUUGAUCUCUGGGUUGUGAGUUUGAGCCUCACUUUGGGUG
rnacentral:tRNA from 1 species